rnacentral:rRNA from 1 species
UACAGAGGCCCCAAGCGUUACUGAGAAUCACUGGGUUUAAAGGGUGCGUAGGUGGCGCGUUAAGUUCGUUGUGAAAUCCCUGGGCUCAACCCGGGAACUGCUUCGAAUACUGGCGGACUUGAGGCUAGUAGAGGUCACUGGAACUGACGGUGGAGCGGUGAAAUGCGUAGAUAUCGUCAGGAACGCCGGUGGUGAAGACGGGUGACUGGGCUAGUUCUGACACUGAGGCACGAAAGCGUGGGGAGCGAACGGG